rnacentral:lncRNA from 1 species
AUACCCCUGAGGCUCUCAGAGUGUUCACCUGCAUCUGCGCUCCUCCCCCAGUGUUGCUUGUCCUCAGAAGCCUGCCAACUCUAUGGGUGCUGUUCCUGGGAAAUCCAAUUUUCUCGGUCUUGCUGAGUUUCCAGGCUUGAUGCCCGCUGCUGUGGUAAUGUUAUUAAGAGGAAGUGAGCCCAUGAAGACACUAAUUUCAUUCAUCCACUCAAAGAUGGACAAGCUGUUAGGAAGGAAGUACGGGGCUACCUUGAAGAAAAUAGAUUUACACACACAAACACAUUCGGCUUGUAUGUAUCCAUGUGCACCACAUGCAUGCUUGCUGUCUGAAGAGGUUAGAAGGGGCAUUUGGUCCUCUAGAACUGGAAUUAUGGAUGCUUCUGAGCUAGCGACUGAACCCAGAUCCUCUUCUAAAGCAACAAGUGGUCUUAACCACCAAGCCAUCUCUCCAGCCCUCCUUCAGCUUCUUGAUAAAUUGUUCUCUUUCAUUUUGUAUUGGGUUUCUUUAUCUUUUCUGACUAAUUUUUUUCUUGAAAUAAACUUUUUUAAGAUAUAAAAACAAAUA